AGAUGCCUAGGGACUAAAUUUUUUAUUAUGUCGCUAACGGAUGGUGCUGUUGAAGGAUAAUGUAGGCACACCGGAUUGAUCCGAGUUGAAGGAUCAUGUAGGCACACUGGAUUGAUUUGGAUCAGAGAUAGCGGAUUUUCAAAAUUUUUUAUUUUCACCGACCUAGUUCACCAUGCAUAGAUCUAAAUCAGAUAUAAAACAUAAUAUAAAUCAGUAUAUAUAAAUGAAAAGGUGAUCACAUCACUUUGCAUGGAUAGACGAUCUUCGCAAUCCGAUGAUCCUGAUUUUAUUGAGAUCCGCUGUUGAGUCGUACACGUGUCCAGUCUCUAUAGAUAUCAACUCGGACCAUUGUCUAGGAUUCUUUCUCAGGAUUUGAUCUGUUUUCUCCAAGAUAGAUCUGAGGACUCUUGAUCAGUGAUGAAGCGAUCUCCGGAGUUGUCGGAUCAACACUUACCAUAGCCUUUCUUCUUGCUUCAGUCGGAUGGCGCCUGAACUCUUUCAAGCGCUCUUUGAGGAUCAACCCAACACCUUUAGGUAUGGGAUAUGGCAGUAGCCUACUCUAGGUGUGUGAAG
rnacentral:lncRNA from 1 species